CCUACGGGUGGCUGCAGUGGGGAAUAUUGGACAAUGGGCGAAAGCCUGAUCCAGCCAUGCCGCGUGUGUGAAGAAGGCCUUCGGGUUGUAAAGCACUUUCAGUGGGGAAGAAAGCCUUGGGGCUAAUACCCUCGAGGGAGGACAUCACCCACAGAAGAAGCACCGGCUAACUCCGUGCCAGCAGCCGCGGUAAUACGGAGGGUGCGAGCGUUAAUCGGAAUUACUGGGCGUAAAGCGCGCGUAGGCGGUCUGAUAAGCCGGUUGUGAAAGCCCCGGGCUCAACCUGGGAACGGCAUCCGGAACUGUCAGGCUAGAGUGCAGGAGAGGAAGGUAGAAUUCCCGGUGUAGCGGUGAAAUGCGUAGAGAUCGGGAGGAAUACCAGUGGCGAAGGCGGUCUUCUGGACUGACACUGACGCUGAGGUGCGAAAGCGUGGGUAGCAAACAGGAUUAGAUACCCCAGUAGUC
rnacentral:rRNA from 1 species